AUGGGUCUCUUCACUGUGACUUGGGCUCCACUUCUCCUUAUCUUCCUUCAUCAUUUAACAGGGUCAUAUGCCCAGUUUGUGCUGACUCAGCCAAAAUCUGUGUCAGGACCACUAGGAAGCACGGUCUCCCUCUCCUGCAAGCGCAGCAGUGGUGACAUUGGAAAUAACUAUGUGCACUGGUACCAGCAGCACCUGGGACGACCCCCAACCCCUGUGAUAUAUGAAGAUGAUAAGAGACCAACAGGGGUUCCUGAUAGAUUCUCAGGCUCCGUUGACAGCUCCUCCAACUCAGCCUCAUUGAUGAUCACUAAUGCACUGGCUGAGGAUGAGGCUGACUACUUCUGUCAGUCUUAUGAUAGUAAUUAUAUUACACAGUGA